rnacentral:rRNA from 1 species
UACGUAGGGGGCUAGCGUUGUCUGGAAUCAUUGGGCGUAAAGAGCGUGUAGGCGGUCCGGUAAGUCCGCUGUGAAAGUCGGGGGCUCAACCCUCGAAUGCCGGUGGAUACUGUCGGGCUAGAGUGCGGAAGAGGCGAGUGGAAUUCCCGGUGUAGCGGUGAAAUGCGCAGAUAUCGGGAGGAACACCAAUGGCGAAGGCAGCUCGCUGGGACGGUACUGACGCUGAGGCGCGAAAGCGUGGGGAGCAAACAGG